rnacentral:misc_RNA from 1 species
CUCAGAUUAGCUCUUUUUUUUGAGCUUUCGGGAAAUCGCUUUUCCGUUUUAUGAGAUUAUGCUGGGGAAGGUUUUCCGGUUAGCUCCGGAGGGCUUGUAGCUCAGUUGGUUAGAGCGCGCGCUUGAUAAGCGUGAGGUCGGAGGUUCAAGUCCUCCCAGGCCCACCAAUUUUAAAGUGUUUUAACAUUUUAUCGAUGUGUAAGCAUUUUAUGCACGAAGAAUUUAGAGGCUUGAUCCUGUUUUGAAGGGGCCGUAGCUCAGCUGGGAGAGCACCUGCUUUGCAAGCAGGGGG